CGAGCGGCAACAGAAAAAGCUAGUAUAGUUUUUGCUGGCAAACGGCGAACGGGUGAGUAAUAUCUGGGGAUCUGCCCAAUGAAGGGGGAUAACUACUGGAAACGGUAGCUAAUACCGCAUAAUGUCGGGAGACUAAAGUGGGGGAUUAUAAAUUUAUUUUUAUGACCUCAUGUCAUUGGAUGAACCCAGACGAGAUUAGCUAGUAGGUAAGGUAAUGGCUUACCUAGGCUACGAUCUCUAGCUGGUCUAAGAGGAUGAACAGCCACACUGGAACUGAGAUACGGUCCAGACUCCUACGGGAGGCAGCAGUGGGGAAUAUUGCACAAUGGGGGAAACCCUGAUGCAGUCAUGCCGCGUGUGUGAAGAAGGCCUUAGGGUUGUAAAGCACUUUCAGCAGGUAAGAAGUUGAUUAUACUAAUAAUAUAAUUAAUUGACGUUACUGCAGAAGAAGCACCGGCUAACUCCGUGCCAGCAGCCGCGGUAAUACGGAGGGUGCAAGCGUUAAUCGGAAUUACUGGGCGUAAAGGGUACGUAGGCUGUUUAUUAAGUCGGGAUGUGAAAUCCCUAAGCUUAACUUAGGAACUGCAUUCGAAACUGGUAUUCUAGAGUCUCGUAGAGGGGAGUAGAAUUCCAGGUGUAGCGGUGAAAUGCGUAGAGAUCUGGAGGAAUACCAGUGGCGAAGGCGACUCCCUGGACGAAGACUGACGCUCAGGUACGAAAGCAUGGGGAGCAAACAGGAUUAGAUACCCUGGUAGUCCAUGCCGUAAACGAUGUCGAUUUGAAGGUUGCAGAUAGUUAUAUUGUGGCUUUCGUAGCUAACGCGUUAAAUCGACCGCCUGGGAAGUACGGCCGCAAGGCUAAAACUCAAAUGAAUUGACGGGGGCCCGCACAAGCGGUGGAGCAUGUGGUUUAAUUCGAUGCAACNCGAAGAACCUUACCUACUCUUGACAUCCAAAGAACUUAACAGAAAUGUUUUGGUGCCUUCGGGAACUUUGAGACAGGUGCUGCAUGGCUGUCGUCAGCUCGUGUUGUGAAAUGUUGGGUUAAGUCCCGCAACGAGCGCAACCCUUAUCCUUUGUUGCCAGCGAUAUAGUCGGGAACUCAAAGGAAACUGCCAGUGAUAAACUGGAGGAAGGUGGGGAUGACGUCAAGUCAUCAUGGCCCUUACGAGUAGGGCUACACACGUGCUACAAUGG
rnacentral:rRNA from 1 species